GAUGAACGCUGGCGGCGUGCCUAAUACAUGCAAGUCGAACGGAAAGGCCCUGCUUGUAGUGUGCUCGCGUGGCGAACGGGCGAGUAACACGCGGGUGAUUUGCCUCCCUCUUUGGGUUAAGUCUCGGAAACUGGGCCUAAUACUUGCCAGGACCUUGCUUUAGGUGGUGUGGUGGAUAGAGUAGUUUCGGUUUGGGAUGAGUUCGCGGUCUAUCAGCGUGUAGGUGGGGUAAUGGUCUACGAAGGCGUUGCCGGGUAGCCGGCCCGAGUGGGUGGGCGGCAAGAUUGAGACUGAGAUGCGAGCCAGAAUCAGACGAGAGGCAGCAGUGGGGGAUAUUGCGCAAGGGGAGCAAGCCUGAUGCGGCGAAGCUGCGUGGGGGGUGACGGCCUUCGAGUUGUGAACUCCAAUCGGCUAUGACGAAGCGCAUGUGGUGACGGUAGUGAUAGAGAAAGCACCGGCUAACUACGUG
rnacentral:rRNA from 1 species